GAUGAACGCUGGCGGCGUGCCUAAUACAUGCAAGUCGAGCGAACAGACGAGGAGCUUGCUCCUCUUACGUUAGCGGCGGACGGGGGAGUAACACGUGGAUAACCUACCUAUAAGACUGGGAUAACUUCGGGAAACCGGAGCUAAUACCGGAUAAUAUAUUGAACCGCAUGGUUCAAUAGUGAAAGACGGUUUUGCUGUCACUUAUAGAUGGAUCCGCGCCGCAUUAGCUAGUUGGUAAGGUAACGGCUUACCAAGGCAACGAUGCGUAGCCGAGCUGAGAGGGUGAUCGGCCACACUGGAACUGAGACACGGUCCAGACUCCUACGGGAGGCAGCAGUAGGGAAUCUUCCGCAAUGGGCGAAAGCCUGACGGAGCAACGCCGCGUGAGUGAUGAAGGCCUUCGGAUCGUAAAACUCUGUUAUUAGGGAAGAAAAAAUGUGUAAGUAAAUAUGCACGUGUUGACGGUACCUAAACAGAAAGCAACGGCUAACUACGUG
rnacentral:rRNA from 1 species